UACGUAGGUGGCAAGCGUUGUCCGGAAUUAUUGGGCGUAAAGGGUAGGUAGGUGGUCUCAUUUGUCUGGGGUGAAAGCCUUGAGCUUAACUCAAGAAGUGCCCCAGAAACGGUGAGACUAGAGUCCUGGAGAGGGUCGUGGAAUUCCCGGUGUAGCGGUGAAAUGCGUAGAGAUCGGGAGGAACACCAGAGGCGAAGGCGGCGACCUGGACAGGUAUUGACGCUGAGGCGCGAAAGCUAGGGUAGCAAACGGG
rnacentral:rRNA from 1 species